rnacentral:lncRNA from 1 species
UUUUCUCCUCUGAGUUGUUCUUGUCUGGUAUUUUGGUCACAGAGAUGAAAGGCUAACACAGUAACUAGUACCAAGAAGUUGGGUCCUUCCUGUGACAUACCUCACCAUAUGAUUCUGAAACCCUUAAAACUGAUUUGCCAGAGGAUUUUGGAAAAGUUUGGAGAUACAGGUGGAGAAGCCUUAGAGUGUUGUAAGCAGAACUUAAUGGCUGAUUUUGAUUGGAGCCCAGAAGAACACAAUGCCUGUAGAAAUGUGGACUGGGAAAACUAUGCUCAUGAGGUUUCAGAUGGGAACAGGGACUUCAAAGGGAAUUAGUGUAGAGGCCACACAUUAUAUUCUGAUGCAGAAUUUGUCUACAUUUUGUCCAUAUCCUGAGACUUUCUGUCGACUGAAUUUUAAGAUGAUGGACUAAUUAACCUGGUGUAGGAAAUUUCAAGGUGGCAAGAUCAAGGGUGUAAAGGUGAAAACUCAUUUAAGGAGCAACCAUUGGGGCACCCUGCUUGCCCAGCCAAUGAAGCCCAGGAAGUUGCUUCCCCAGUGUUUUGUUUCAUCAUGCUCAGCUGU